rnacentral:rRNA from 1 species
GAUGAACGCUGGCGGCGUGCCUAAUACAUGCAAGUCGAGCGAACAGACGAGGCGCUUGCUCCUCUGACGUUAGCGGCGGACGGGAGAGUAACACGUGGAUAACCUACCUAUAAGUCUGGGAUAACUUCGGGACACCGGCGCUAAUACCGGAUAAUAUAUUGAACCGCAUGGUUCAAUAGUGAAAGACGGUUUUGCUGUAACUUAUAGAUGGAUACGCGCCGCAUUAGCUAGUUGGUAAGGUAACGGCUUACCAAGGCAACGAUGCGUAGCCGACCUGAGAGGGUGAUCGGCCACACUGGAACUGAGACACGGUCCAGACUCCUACGGGAGGCAGCAGUAGGGAAUCGGCCGCAAUGGGCGAAAGCCUUACGGAGCAACGCCGCGUGAGUGAUGAAGGUCUUCGGAUCGUAAAACUCUGUUAUUAGGGAAGAACAAAUGUGUAAGUAACUAUGCACGUCUUGACGGUACCUAAUCAGAAAGCCACGGCUAACUACGUG